rnacentral:lncRNA from 1 species
AAUAUAUUGGUUAAAAUUUUAAGUAGACAAUAAUGAUCAUUAGAUAAAAAUAGAUUUCAUCAAGAUCUUGGUCAUUCAUUUGAUGCAUCUUCAAUAAUAAAAUGAAUUCAUCUUCAUUUUAAUGCUACUAUAUUGAUUCAUUAGAGUUAUUUUAUAUAAUAUAAAUAAAGCUUUUAUUAGAGAAGAAACAAAAAAGGAAAAACUAACCAAACCCUUGAAAGCACAAGUGCCAACUAAGGGUCAAGCCUUCUCAAACCCUUUCUGACAAAAAUCAAAGGGAAAACGCCAAUAAAAGAAAAAGAAUACUCGUCUAUUACCCACAAAAAAAAAACAACUAAACACAAAAAUUGACAGCAACGAAGAGCAUCUGACAAAGCAGACCACUCCAAG